GAACGCACAUUGCGCCCCUUGGUAUCCCGAGGGGCAUGCCUGUUCGAGCGUCAUUUCACCUCUCAAGCCUGGCUUGGUGUUGGGCGACGUCCCCUUUGGGGACGCGCCUCGAAACGCUCGGCGGCGUGGCACCGGCUUUAAGCGUAGCAGAAUCUUUCGCUUUGGAAGUCGGGGCCCCGUCUGCCGGAAGACCUACUCGCAAGGUUGACCUCAAAUCAGGUAGGACCACCCGCUGAACUUAAG
rnacentral:misc_RNA from 1 species